rnacentral:rRNA from 1 species
UUCGGGUUGUAAACCUCUUUCAGCAGGGAAGAAGCGAGAGUGACGGUACCUGCAGAAGAAGCGCCGGCUAACUACGUGCCAGCAGCCGCGGUAAUACGGAGGGGGCUAGCGUUGUUCGGAAUUACUGGGCGUAAAGCGCACGUAGGCGGACCGGAAAGUUGGAGGUGAAAUCCCAGGGCUCAACCUUGGAACUGCCUUCAAAACUAUCGGUCUGGAGUUCGAGAGAGGUGAGUGGAAUUCCGAGUGUAGAGGUGAAAUUCGUAGAUAUUCGGAGGAACACCAGUGGCGAAGGCGGCUCACUGGUCCAUUACUGACGCUGAGGUGCGAAAGCGUGGGGAGCGAACAGGAUUAGAUACCCUGGUAGUCCAAGGGCGAAU